UCUCUUUCACUCUUGGGCCUAGUGAGGCAGCUUAUUUUUCCUUUUUCUUUCAUUGGUCACAGUGAUUUCUUUUCAGUGUGUCAUCUUCUCUUAAGUUUCUGAGGGAGUGUUAGCUUGAGGCCUUGCCUUGACAUAAUCAGAUAUAAUCAGAAAAAUGAAAAAUUCCAUAGGAAAGAGAACUAUUUUAGCCAAGGUGUGCGAGAGAAAUACCGUCACUUUCAAGCACUGUUUUCUUCUACUGGAGUCUGCUCAAUAGGGACGUCAGCUUUGCUGGGGCUUCCUUUGACAAGAGAAUCAGAACCGACUGGUGACAUUUGUUUCAAUGAAAGCAACAGUGUGAAGAAACUUGCAAUUUAUUCUGAUCAACAAUUUGUCCAGCUAAAGUACUACAUCUGCCCCCUCUUCUUGUGGCUGUAGGGGCACAGCAAAGGUCACUGGGCUAACCUCCUUAAAGGGACUCCGCUAACAGAAACCACCAAAUGGAGUGGAGAAAAAGAAAGGGAUCCCCUAUCCCCACCUCCAGCCAUCUAGAUUAAGAAAAGCCAGCUGACUGGACAGUAGCACAGCCCAGUCACCUCAUGGACAAAUUUCC
rnacentral:sRNA from 1 species